GAAAUGCGAUAAUUAAUGUGAAUUGCAGAAUUCAGUGAAUCAUCGAGUCUUUGAACGCACAUUGCGCCCCCUGGUAUUCCGGGGGGCAUGCCUGUCCGAGCGUCAUUGCUGCCCUCAAGCACGGCUUGUGUGUUGGGCUUCCGUCCCUGGCAACGGGGACGGGCCCAAAAGGCAGUGGCGGCACCGUGUCUGGUCCUCGAGCGUAUGGGGCUUUGUCACCCGCUCCCGUAGGUCCAGCUGGCAGCUAGCCUCGCAACCAAUCUUUUUAACCAGGUUGACCUCGGAUCAGGUAGGGAUACCCGCUGAACUUAAGC
rnacentral:misc_RNA from 1 species